CCUACGGGUGACUGCAGUAGGGAAUCUUCCACAAUGGGCGAAAGCCUGAUGGAGCAACGCCGCGUGGGUGAAGAAGGUCUUCGGAUCGUAAAACCCUUUUUUUAGAGAAGAAAGUGCGUGAGAGUAACUGUUCACGUUUCUACGUUAUCUAACCAGAUAGCCACGCCUAAAUACGUGCCAGCAGCCGCGGUAAUACGUAGGUGGCAAGCGUUAUCCUGUUUUGUUGGGCGUAAAGGGAACGCAGGAGUUCUUUUAAGUCUGAUGUGAAAGCCUUCGGCUUAACCGGAGUAGUGCAUUGGAAACUGGGAGACUUGAGUGCAGGAGAGGAGAGCGGAACU
rnacentral:rRNA from 1 species